rnacentral:rRNA from 1 species
CGUAGGGCGCAAGCGUUAUCCGGAAUUAUUGGGCGUAAAGAGCUCGUAGGCGGUUUGUCGCGUCUGCUGUGAAAACCCGGAGGCUCAACCUCGGGCCUGCAGUGGGUACGGGCAGACUAGAGUGCGGUAGGGGAGAUUGGAAUUCCUGGGUGUAGCGGUGGAAUGCGCAGAUAUCAGAAGGAACACCGAUGGCGAAGGCAGAUCUCUGGGCCGUAACUGACGCUGAGGAGCGAAAGGGUGGGAGCAAACAGGCUUAGAUACCCUGGUAGUCCACCCCGUAAACGUUGGGAACUAGUUGUGGGGACCAGUUCCACGGUUUCCCGUGACGCAGCUAACGCAUUAAGUUCCCCGCCUGGGGAGUACGGCCGCAAGGCUA